AGAUACUGCAGCCUGCUGGAGUGAAAAGGUGCCACUGUGUGUGGGCAGGUGCCUGAAGCCUUCUGAUAAGCAGAAUUGUCCUGUGUCUGAGCUAGAUGUCACCUCCUCUGCUUUUCCCUAGAAAUUCUCCAGGAAGAUCAGGAAUGCACUGAAAGCCAGUAAGUGCUGGUUCGUUUUGGUCUCCAUGACGCACACGAGCUAGGGCAGAGCUGAGCAGCUGCAGUGAACCCACUGCUGAGCUGGGCCAAUAGAUUGCUCCAUCCUCCAAGCAGAUGUUUCUCUUUUACACUCCUGGAGCUCUUGCAGACCAUAUCCCUUCCCAAGAGAAAACACCAGCACAGUUGGAAGCUGGGAGGGCUCAUCUCAACAACAGAAGCAAGGUGCCAGCAGCAUCAGCCACAGUUUGUUAAUAAAAAUCCAUGAACAGAACAGCAACUGCAUUUUGUUUUAGCUUGUUUAAAAGAAAACCCACAUGAAAAACACUUUUUCUUCUCUGUGUGGCCCUCUUAGUUGUAGUGUUUCUUUGUCCUAUAGUAAUAGAGUUCUGUGUGAGACAAGAGGAAAUUAAUCUCUUGCUAUUUGCCUCACUGUUGCUCUGUCAGUCAUAAAAUGAGAGAGAAAACAGUUUGUGUAAAUAUUCAUUGUUAAAAUCCACAUCACAUGUAAUAAUUGAUACUCUGACUGUGCCUAGGUAAAAAUAAGGAGAACUCCAU